CCUGAACGCUGUCGGCGUGACUAAGACAUGCAAGUCGUACGGUGUAGCAAUACACAGUGGCGCACGGGUGAGUAAUGUAUCGCUAAUGUACCCCGAACUCUGGGAUAGCCAGUCGAAAGAUUGGGUAAUACCAGAUGAGACCACGACCUGGCAUCAGGUUGUGCUCAAAGGUUCGCCGGUUUGGGAUCAGGCGAUAUGGUAUCAGGUAGUUGGUGAGGUAACGGCUCACCAAGCCUUCGACGCCUAGCCGGACUGAGAGGUCGGACGGCCACAUCGGGACUGAGACACUGCCCGGACUCCUACGGGGGGCUGCAGUAAUGAAUCUUCCGCAAUGCACGAAAGUGUGACGGAGCGACGCCGAGUGAAGGAUGAAGUUCUUCGGAAUGUAAACUUCUAAAUCUGUUAGAAAGUUCUGAUCAGCAGACUAUAAGUGGCGACUAACUCUGUGCCAGCAGCCGCGGUAAAGUAGUCGUG
rnacentral:rRNA from 1 species